rnacentral:rRNA from 1 species
GCCCGGGACGAACAACUGGUUUCGACCAGUCUGACGGUACCGGGUGAGGAAGCACCGGCUAACUCCGUGCCAGCAGCCGCGGUAAUACGGAGGGUGCGAGCGUUGUCCGGAAUCACUGGGCGUAAAGGGCGCGUAGGCGGUUUCUUAAGCGUGCGGUGAAAGCCUGGGGCUCAACCCCGGGUCGGCCGUGCGAACUGGGGGACUCGAGCACUGUAGAGGCAGGCGGAAUUCCGGGUGUAGCGGUGGAAUGCGUAGAGAUCCGGAAGAACACCGGUGGCGAAGGCGGCCUGCUGGGCAGUGGCUGACGCUGAGGCGCGACAGCGUGGGGAGCAAACAGGAUUAGAUACCCUGGUAGUCCACGCCGUAAACGAUGGGUACUAGGUGCCUGGGGGAGCGACCCUCCGGGUGCCGGCGCUAACGCAUUAAGUACCCCGCCUGGGGAGUACGGCCGCAAGGCUGAAACUCAAAGGAAUUGACGGGGGCCCGCACAAGCGGUGGAGCAUGUGGUUUAAUUCGACGCAACGCGAAGAACCUUACCUGGGCUUGACAUCUCCUGAAUUACUCGUAACUGAAGAAGCCCUUCGGGGCAGGAAGACAGGUGGUGCAUGGUUGUCGUCAGC